ACUAACGGCUGCGAAGCGAGGGAAAUAUUAGUGGGAUCCUGCAAUGGCAUGAGCCCAACCGAGAAUAAAAUAGACAUUAAAUUAAAAAAAAAACUGUUCGGAAUUCUGUGUCUACAUUCUGCGACAGAAUGUUUAUUCCCAUUAAUGUGAGUAUAAAAUAAUUGUAAGCAUAAUUGGUAUUUGAGUUGCAGUGAUGUUGUAGAUUAAUUUUCAUCUUCAGUUAUUAUCAGAAAGAAGGGAUUUUGUGUAGUUACAGGACUGCACUGGCAGGGGACAUUGAAUGAUGGUCUUACCCGGGACCAUGUAAGAUAAAAUGAAGCUUUGGUUUUAUUUCAUAUCUUUUUAAUCCUAUGUUUAAUACACAAAAUACACUCUGCAAUUUACAUUGUAUUACAUGUACGUGGUUUGCUUUCUGCUGUGCAAUACUGGAACUCUUUUUCACCAUAACAAUUCACCCCAUAGGCCAGUUGGAGUUUUUUGUUUAGAACUGUAUCGCUGUGGCCAUCCCAUCCACGAUGAUUGAUGGCUGUACAAAAACUGUGUGUGCCUCCGUGAAACAUGUACUCAUCUCCUUCUUCUCUGAAGCACAUUUGUAGAAAGGUGAGCAGGGGAAAUAUUCACUGGUUCGGGACCAGUGUCAACAUGGUCAUAUGAACAUGAAUUAAAAUUUUCAGAAUUAA